rnacentral:lncRNA from 1 species
CUCCAGCACACCUGCCCGGGAAUGGCACCACUCAAAGGAAUGUCCCCUCCUACAUGAAGUAGCAACCAAGAAAAUGCCCUGCAGACAUGCGCACGGACUGAUCCUGGUGAAGAGGCCUGGCUGUUUCUACCGGAUCAUGACACUACUGCUGAGUGAUUGGUAUCCUGCACUACUGAACUGGACUGUUGGUAUCCUGAUGAAUGGAGAUUGGAAUCACAUCUGAAGAACUACUUCUAAACAGACCUCAUUGCAUAACGUGAACCCUGGAGGCAGCAUCUCUGCUGAAGGAUGACGAUGCAGUUUCCCUUGUCUGUUCCACUGCACCAACAUCAGCAUCCCAGACAUCGCCUGAAGAGUCAAAGUUCCACAGACUCUUCUAGUAGCUAUCAUGAUCACUUGGACAAAACUCUUUCCUGGAAACAUGAGCCACCUGUAUAGUCCAGUGCUGGCCGCAGAGGAAUGUACAUUGACUCUGGUUUUACUAAAUGGUCAGUUCCUGGGUCUUACUUACCUCUAUUCCAGAAUUCUCGAUAUGUGAUUCCUACUCCCUCCCCCAUUAUGAUAUUGUGAAUUAUCUGUGAGUGGGGCUUAAGGUAGAUUGCUAAGCACUUACCUCUUAAGACCUAAGUUUAUUUCAUGGGAUCCAAGUGGUAG